GCCUUCGUAGCUCAGGGGUAGAGCACUUCCUUGGUAAGGAAGAGGUCGGCAGUUCAAUUCUGCUCGAAGGCUCUA
rnacentral:tRNA from 1 species